rnacentral:rRNA from 1 species
GGUAGUCACUAACACAUGCAAGUCGAACGGUAACAUUUCUAGCUUGCUAGAAGAUGACGAGUGGCGGACGGGUGAGUAAUGCUUGGGAACUUGCCUUUGCGAGGGGGAUAACAGUUGGAAACGACUGCUAAUACCGCAUAAUGUCUUCGGACCAAACGGGGCUUCGGCUCCGGCGCAAAGAGAGGCCCAAGUGAGAUUAGCUAGUUGGUAAGGUAACGGCUUACCAAGGCGACGAUCUCUAGCUGUUCUGAGAGGAAGAUCAGCCACACUGGGACUGAGACACGGCCCAGACUCCUACGGGAGGCAGCAGUGGGGAAUAUUGCACAAUGGGGGAAACCCUGAUGCAGCCAUGCCGCGUGUGUGAAGAAGGCCUUCGGGUUGUAAAGCACUUUCAGUUGUGAGGAAAAGUUAGUAGUUAAUACCUGCUAGCCGUGACGUUAACAACAGAAGAAGCACCGGCUAACUCCGUGCCAGCAGCCGCGGUAAUACGGAGGGUGCGAGCGUUAAUCGGAAUUACUGGGCGUAAAGCGCACGCAGGCGGUUUGUUAAGCUAGAUGUGAAAGCCCCGGGCUCAACCUGGGAUGGUCAUUUAGAACUGGCAGACUAGAGUCUUGGAGAGGGGAGUGGAAUUCCAGGUGUAGCGGUGAAAUGCGUAGAUAUCUGGAGGAACAUCAGUGGCGAAGGCGACUCCCUGGCCAAAGACUGACGCUCAUGUGC